UACGUAGGGGGCUAGCGUUGCUCGGAAUCACUGGGCGUAAAGGGCGCGUAGGCGGAUCUUUAAGUCAGGCGUGAAAGCCUGAGGCUCAACCUCAGAAUUGCCUUUGAUACUGAAGAUCUGGAGACCGGAAGAGGUAAGUGGAACUGCGAGUGUAGAGGUGAAAUUCGUAGAUAUUCGCAAGAACACCAGUGGCGAAGGCGGCUCACUGGCCCGAUACUGACGCUGAGGCACGAAAGCGUGGGGAGCAAACAGG
rnacentral:rRNA from 1 species